rnacentral:rRNA from 1 species
CCUACGGGGGGCUGCAGUGAGGAAUAUUGGUCAAUGGACGCAAGUCUGAACCAGCCAUGCAGCGUGCAGGAAGACUGCCCUAUGAGUUGUAAACUGCUUUUGUAAGAGAGUAAACGCAGAUACGCGUACCUGUUUGAAUGUAUUGUAUGAAUAAGGAUCGGCUAACUCCGUGCCAGCAGCCGCGGUAAUACGGAGGAUUCAAGCGUUAUCCGGAUUUAUUGGGUUUAAAGGGUGCGUAGAUGGUCGGUUAAGUCAGUGGUGAAAUUCCGAGGCUCAACUGUGAAAUUGCAUUUGAUACUGGUCGGCUAGAGAAUAGUUGAGGUAGGCGGAAUGUGUGGUGUAGCGGUGAAAUGCUUAGAGAUCAUGCAGAACACCGAUUGCGAAGGCAGCUUACCAAGCUACCUCUGACAUUGAUGCACGAAAGUGUGGGGAGCAAACAGGAUUAGAUACCCUGGUAGUC